GGCGGUAUAGCCAAGUGGUAAGGCAGAGGAUUGCAAAUCCUAUAUCCCCAGUUCAAAUCCGGGUGCCGCCU
rnacentral:tRNA from 1 species